UAAUAUAGAUGAAUACAUUUCUAAAGUAAGGACACAUACCCGAAAGAAGGGACAAUACUUUGGAUUAUAUUGAAUUUGUAAAGGGAUCACAUGAAAGACCGGGGGUCGAAUGAUAAUUUUUGCAAUUCUACAUAUGGCCUUCAACACAUUAUGAAAAUAUUUUGAAAUGGUUUGUCCAAAAUAUUGAAAUUGGUCUUGGUUUAUUCGAUUUUGAGUAUUAUGACCUAUUGAGAGCAAGAAUAUACACACUUGCUCUUGAACCGUUAGGUACCUAGAAUGCUUUAAAUAUCCACAUUCUUUGAGCGCCUCAUAGAAUGCAAUGAACACAUGUGGUUUUAUUCUAAAUUGUUCAAAACACCGGAGAUCAUUACCAUUCAAAACUUCCAACACGUAGUCAUGUCCUCUAAGUAUGGAUGUUCGACAAGGAACACGUGAAUGGUAUAUUCGAUGAUGUUCAUGCAUCGCUAAAGUUACGACCAUAUUAGUGAGUUCAUCGUUUGAAUCAGAUUCUAGUCCUAAUACAUUGUCAUCAUCACUACCAUCAUUGAACGCCAUUAUAUCUUGUCAAUUCUUCUAAAGUAAGCUUCUCUACAAUUUCUAGAAGAAAAGCCACUCAAAGCAUUCUAAACAGCAAUUUCAGUUUCAGUUUUAGUUUCAUACUAUUUUUUCAUAUAACACUUAAACAACAAUUUCUGUUUCAGUUUUAGUUUCAUACUAUUUUUGUAUACAACACCUAAACAACAAUUUCAGUUUCAGUUUUAGUGUUAAGAGAAGAUAUCAAGAUAAGAGAAGAUAUCAAAGAAUAACAAGAAUAUGUAUCAACCUAUAUACAAUACUACAUCUUUCAUGAGAAAUGUAGCAAAAGUAUCAAAUAAGCAAAUGAGCCAUAUAUUAUCCUACUACUGAAAAUGUAGAAGUCCAAUUCUGUUUCAUACAAUAAAAUAAUUGAGAAGUCGUCAUUUCAACAAAACAUACAAUGGGCAAGGACAUAAGCGAAGAUUACCAUCCAAAAACCAACAUCAAGAAAGGGGCAGCCAGUCAAUCAACCAGUAAUAAAUAUACUGAAUUUAUAAAACAGUCAAUCAACCAGUAAAUAGAAAAACAGAUACAUAACAUAGCAUACAAUCCUUAUUGUCAAAUAUAAGCUACAAAUCAAAUUGUCCAAACUACAUGAAAACACCAACAGUACUUAACAAACAUAACCGACAACAGAACCUAAGGCAAACUCGUGCACCAGUCAAUCUUCCUCUUGUUACGAAUCCUAAGAAAGAUAGCUCUCCAGCUAGGAUCUUCUUGAGUUUAGUCAUAGCCUUCGAGUAAGAUAACCCAUCUGGUCAUCCAUACCAUUGAGGAUCGAUAAACACUGAUUGAAUAAACUAAGUGGAUCAUCCUUAUCUGGAGAGAAAACAAUAAUACUUGCUGCUCUAGCUUUCACCCUAAGUUCGAGGAGUUCCACUUUCUUAUGGCUGCUUUCGGCAAUAACAUUGAGAGAUGCACUAAGGUUGGCAUAAUAAGAAUACCUUUUCCUUGAAUUGCUAAUUGGCUUUGGCGUACUCGCCUAUCCUUUCUCUUUGACACCAGCUUUAAAAUUGUUGACCUUUAAGUCCUCAAUAUCAGCCUCCUUUUUAAUUUUGAAUUCUGGAUCAGAACUAUCUGUUCGUCAAGGAGAUUGGGUUAAGGUGAAGGCAUUCAUUCCUUUGGCAGUGUUCUCCCCAAGCACUCGGGUCAUAGCUGCAUAGUGAGGAUAUCCAUCUUUCCUAAAUGAUUUAGCCUUGCUACUUAUCUAAAAGAUAGGAUAAUAGAUCACAUUAAUUAUAUGACAAUAGGAAGUACAAUGAAAUGAAAUGAUUCAGGCUACAACUAACCUUAUAAAGCCUAUUCCACAUCUCUUCGGUUGCAUCGACAGUACCUUUAAUAGGAUACCAUCCACAUCCUGAUUGUGUAUACAAGCUCACAAAUUUUUUUUUUUGUUGUUCGCAGUAGGUUGAACAUGUUUUUAAGUUGAUUAUCAGUAUAGGGGUAGCUAGUCAAUUUGAUUAGUUUUUUUCUUAUCAUUUGCCAAGCUUCUUUUGUGAAUGACCCAGUUACCCUACUAUUAUAGUUUUUCAAAUCUUCACCCAUGAGGUACACAUAAAUGGACUCAUUCUUAUACGCCAUGGUCCAUUAUUUUCAAUUCCAACCUCUGUUACGUCCUCGUUACUAUCUAGUAGGCUAAUUCCUUUACCAUUCAUACCUACAAAAAUUAACAGAAACACUCAAAUAAAAUAAAUUGAUGUGCGACAAAUGUAGCAUAAAGAUGCAAACGACAUAAUCUACCAUGUACAAAUCAGAACUAAACCAACUCAUUAUAGGUGAUAGUACCUCAUUAACACUAAUCCAAAUUAAGAAGAUUUAAUACUGCCUCACUACAAAUAAGUUAGGCAAUAAACACUGAUGUAAAUAUGUAACUAAUAUGAAUUAAGGAGAGUAAAGAUGGAACCCACUGUUUGGUGCAGCAGCAAAAGCUAAGUUUGUCAAGCAUGCAAGCAAGGUCACUUGCUGAUUCAAAAAUCAAUUUACACCUCAGCCCUCUUUCUAUUUUUUUCUUCAAUCAGAUAAGAAAAAUUUCUCUAUCUCAGUAUUUCGGAAGGAUAUGUUAUACAAUCUCAGGAUAGGUUUGCAAUUUUUACCUUGAAUAACUAAGACAACCAUGAUGAAGAAGACGCAGUGUAAAGAACAGAACUCGUAGAACUCACAUUUUUAGAUCAAUGGGUUACAUGCAAAAUAAAAUUUAUUUUUGAACUAAAUGCAAAGCUAGAUCUACUAUAAACAUUAGAAGAACGACCAAGAAGGCUGAAGAAGAAGUAUUUUAGAAGAAUCAGGACAAAGAAAACGAAGAAGACUGACUUGUUGGACGAGGUAGAUCUUCUUUCAACCUUGAUCUGAGUGGUAGAAGACGAAACUUGACGGAGUUUGGUGGUUGAAAAUCGAUAGUGCCGUAAGGGAGAUGCAACUUUUGUGUCUGCGUUUGACCUAAAAAUGCAAGAAAGAGAUGACGAUCUUCCCUUAUGUUUAGCCUAACCUGGGAUUUGUGUGACGAAUGGGUUUGUUAGGCCCAGCCCACUUGGGAUUUAUUUUUCUCUUUAGUUAAUUUUUUGGAAUCUUUGGAAUCCUUGAGACUCGAACACUGCUUUGGUGUAUGUUAAGUUCUAGUUACUGUUCACGCGUGUCUGUGUGAACAGUACCUGCCGAUUUUAAUUUUUUGAAAACAAAACAGAACAACUUUUUUUUUGUUUUCACUAUUUUCAAAGAUAGUGGAAGUUGUUUUGCCUUGUUUUUAUUUAUUUUUUGCAACACAAACAAGUUUUCUAUUUUUAUUUAGUGAUGAUGGAGUGACUUUCGAUGGCAGGUUAAGAUGGUGGUGGCCAGUGACGGACGCAAGAAUUACAUUUGGGUGGGCCAAAUUAUACAUCAAUGGACCAAUAAUAAAAUAGUCAAAGUUAACAGAAAAAAUUUAAAAAAUUAAUUUUCUUUUUUCAAAUAUUUUGGGGGGCCGUGGCCCCCACCUGACCCCUGGGUCCGCCUCUGGUGGUGGCAAUGCGCAAUGGUGGUUGCAAAGGGUGUGAUGAUAAAGGGGUGGUGGAGGUAUCAGUGGUGGUUGGUGUUGGUAGGCGUAGUGGCAGUUAGUUCUUGCAAAGAAAAUGGGGUGGUGUGAUGGAAAAAAUUAGAAAGCAAGGAAUACACCAUUUUAUCCCCUAGAAAAUGGCAAUGUGAGCUCCAUAUGCACUAUUUUCAUAAAAAAAAUCAUUAUGGACAUUAUCUACUGGACUCAAUUGCUUGUCAAAAUCGAGCAAAUUAAAAGACAAGGACGAAAUUGAUACAAUGAACAAACUAAAGGCACUAUUUCUAUAAUUUAUAAUCUCCAAUCCAAAACCUUAAUUUGAUUUCGAGUAUUAUAUGAAAGGACUAUAUGAUUUAGCCUUAUAAAAUUAUACUUAUAGCCACUGAUAUAUAUUUAAUUUUCAAAAUAGGUAAUUAUAAAUUACUUCUAUGAAUUUUUACUUUUCUUUUAAGAGAAAAAAAGAUUCUAAUUUCUCUCUUAUCCCAUGACAACACUUAAUUGGCAGUUGCCAGUAACCAAUUUUUGAUCACUUUUGACACUCGACAAACAACAAUAUUUGGCAUAUUGGGAUUGGUCCACUCAUGUGAGAAAUCGUGGGUCAUACAAUUCUUAGUUAUUUACACACACAUAUAUAUAAAAUGAGAUCAGGAGUUGUCGGCAUGCGGCUUGCCAGCCAAAUCCCAUCUGAUGUCUCUAACCCCACUUGCUAACUCUGGUUAGAUUUUAACCAUACCCUAGUUAAAACGCUGUGGAUCCUAGCUCAAUGAUUGUUUUAGUUUGGGGUUAAGCAUAUUGUAUAGUAGAGUUUGGAAUCCACUUAAAAUUUAGUAUACGGUUUUAUUUUUUAUUUUUUCUCCGUAUAAAAUAAAGAUCCAAAUAUAACAUUUAAUAUUUUACCAAACAAGACUAAAACCAAAUCCAAAGCAUUCCCGAUAUGAAAAUAGUGUAAUGGUGCAAGGUAAGCCAUCAAUAGUCAAACCUAAAUUAGAUGGGCAGAGGUCCUACUAAUUGAUUAUUUUUCGCAAGACAUGGCUAUAUUUGUCAUUUCAUGCAACAUAAUACGAAAGAUACAAGGAUAAAAAUGUCAUUUUAUAAUAAGUAGCUGCAUAUUAAAUUUGAAAAAAUCAUUGAAGAUUUUUAUUUGGAUCUGGUACUAAAAGUGCCAACUAAGGGAAUUAGGAGAUAAAGCAUGUGUAAAACACGGCCACCGUGAUUGGAGAAUACCGUAUGGUUUACCAACGUUGAUUUGUGACAUUGAAACGUGGCAUCCGAUGAUUUGUAAGAACGUGGCAUCCGAAAACGAGUUCCAUGGCCGAUUAAAUGUGUGCCAUGGUUGCCCAUUGCCUAGAAAAUUAGGCCAUGGCUGGGCAGCCAUAGCUGGGCAAAUGCAUGCCUUGGC
rnacentral:lncRNA from 1 species